UACGUAGGGUGCAAGCGUUGUCCGGAAUUAUUGGGCGUAAAGAGCUCGUAGGCGGUUUGUCGCGUCUGCUGUGAAAACGCGAGGCUCAACCUCGCGCCUGCAGUGGGUACGGGGCAGACUAGAGUGCGGUAGGGGAGAUUGGAAUUCCUGGUGUAGCGGUGGAAUGCGCAGAUAUCGGGAGGAACACCUGUGGCGAAGCGGCUCACUG
rnacentral:rRNA from 1 species